UACGAAGGGGGCGAGCGUUGUUCGGAUUUACUGGGCGUAAAGGGCGCGCAGGCGGCGAUCCAAGUCAGGCGUGAAAGCCCCGGGCUUAACCUGGGAACUGCGUCUGGGACUGGGUGGCUAGAGUUCGGGAGAGGAGAGUGGAAUUCCCAGUGUAGAGGUGAAAUUCGCAGAUAUCGAGAGGAACACCAGUGGCGAAGGCGAGUCCCUGGAAAACACCUGACACUGAGGCACGAAAGCUAGGGGAGCAAACAGG
rnacentral:rRNA from 1 species